rnacentral:lncRNA from 1 species
CAGAAAGUCAUCAUCUUGAGAACCCACAGCAAAGAGUUCAUUUUUUUGCAGUAGAUACGUAGCUAUAUUAACAACGAUACUUCCAGCAUGCACAAAUGGGACUUCUUGAUGGUUACGCUGCUAAAGACAUUUACAAAUCCCCAUCAAUACUGGUGUUUAUUCCUCAUGAUGAUCCAGUGAGCUGACAAUAAAAGAAAACCUCGGCAUUACUAGUAAAUCGUCACUGCAAGCAUGGAAGAGAUUCAGGUAGGAAUUACCCUUGUCUUCAUUGAGAGGCUUUAACCUCCCUUGUCAGCAGGCCCAUGGUUCGAUGCAUCCUCUGAAGCGUCUAAGCAAGGAUUGCUUUUACACUGACUUACAGGCUGAGAAAGUUGGGACCCCUUUUGCGAAAAGUUUGGUUUACCUUUCGGAGUCUCAGACAGGCUUCCCGUUGACAGCUUUGCUAGGCCCAUUGUCUUGUGCUCACGCGGGAGCUUUGUUGAAAAAGGUGAUUCAGGUGUAUCAGGAUGCUUCCCAGGAAUAUCCAUCGGUCUAUGAAACAGCAAAUGAGCCACAGUCCGGUCUACCGGAUUGGUCUCUGUUUCCACCUCAGGCAUCUUAACCACCCUGCAGUAUACUCAUAAAAUCCAUGAGGAAAAUGACAGGAAACUUUGAGAUUGCCAUACUCUAAACAAAUUGAUAAAGACUUGAUUAAUAAUUUUGUGCAAACAAAUUGAAUGAUUUGAAAUGGGAAGGACGAGAUGUAAAGGAACAAACCCAUUGGAACAAGAAACAAUCACAUUGUCGCUUACAACAAAAAAUCGAGUUUCAGAUCAAAACAGCUUAUGGUUUUGGCUGGAAGUGUCCCAUUUAGACAUUGAUGAGCCGAUUAGAAGAUGAUUUGAGUUCUUAAAUUUCUUGCUUAAAAUGUAAUGUAUCAUGAUUCUGCAGAUGAUCAUUAAAUUAGAAGGGAAAUUUAAUUUUGCCCUGUUUAUCUAAAGUUGUGCAAGUUCUCUGCAUUGAUGAUUCCAGUGAAUUUGUACAGAUCUUGUUUUCCUUCUAUUUGUCCUUGAAUAAACUUAUUGCACUUGUUGAACAAUCUUUGUUUCUCUCUCUUAGUUAAAUCUAGUAAAAUUUAUCAUGUAUGUUGUGCCACUCAUUUAGACUUGGAUGUGCGUGUUUAGCUCUUCUUUUCGGAUUAAGGUGAUUAUGCACAAAUUCACUGGAAUCAACAUUGCAGAAAACUUGCAUAGAUUUUGUUAAUAUUGGAAAAAUUAAAUUCGUUUUCUAAUUAAAUGAAAAUCUCUCCUAAAUAUUAUGCUAUUUGAAUUGUCACCUCAUGACUACUUGCUGCACUGCACUCAUGAAUGCUGCACCAGGGUAAAGCUACAAAUGUCAGUUUAAUAUCUGCCUCUACCUAGGUUGGCCUACAUACAAUACCAAAGCUUCUCUCAACUAAAUCAAGACAUGAUGACCAGCACUCACAAUCAUAACAGAACCAGUGGAAGCGAACUACUACAUAUUUGAUCAACAAGGUCAAAUUCAGUCAAGUUUUUAAGGAAAUCCAGUGAAAGAGGAACCUAAAAUUUUCUGUUUAGAUUUUCUUCUACUUCUAAGAACAAGCGCUGCCUUAAUUGAAUUGUUUCAGUCACUAUUCCUCCAUUGUAAAUAGAGGAUACCGUUUUCAAUAUUUAUUUCCAGAGUGAGAAUGGAAAACAGAAAAUGGUGAUGGCAUUAAAAGAUCCUAAUUUAACAUUUCCAUAGAGCAAAAAUGUUUUUUAAAAAAGAGAGAGGAUAGAUUAAAUUUGAAAACAGAAGCAUGAGAAAUGCAUUACCUUAACCAACCUUCUUUGACUACUAUUGUUUGUACUGCCAGUAUCACUAGCAUAAUGCCUUUGCAUUGCACUUUGAGCCAGCCGGAACAAGCUAUCCCGAAUACAAAGUCUAAUUCUGACAUCCAACUGUUGUAAAACAUUGGUUUGGAAUCGUAACCAAGCACAAAUUAUUUAGCAGGGAAAGAAUGCAAUAGUAGGUGAAGCAUACCUUUGAAAUAAUAUCUUGAAGCCUGUAGAGUACUGUGUCCUCCAUUGAAUAAUCAUUAACCGCCAGAGAGACUGUAUUGGAAUCGUCUUGCUCAAUAGGUGAGUUUGGGUCAAAUGAAGCAAGUGUACUUAGAUCCUCUACUUCAAGGUCAGCUCCUUCAACAUGCUGAAUUUGAUUUUCUUGGGAACACUUUUGAUGAACAAGCUGCUGCUGCUGUUUCUGAAUGGCAAGCAUUGCCUGAAUUUGUUGCCGCCUCCUUAAUUUUUCAAUCUUUUCCUGAGGUGUCAUUCUCUGGGGUUUCACUGGACAGUCAGCUAACUUGUUUAUAGGAUUUGCAUUGCCUGAAACUUCAUAACCAGAAAUUUUAGGUCGAUGAUUAAAUGACUAGAAAUUUUGUUGGAAAGUCAGAAAACUUUAACAGGAUUCGCAUUACCUGAAGAAACUUCAUAACCAGAAGCUAAAGGUUGAUGCUUAAAAUCCCCAGACUGAAUGUGGGACAACCCAGGCAUAGAAUAUGGAUUUGUAAUACUCCCGUAGGCAGAAGGGGCCACAAAUGGAUUGGAUAUCUGCUGGUACUGCAACUGCUCGGAACCCUGUAGCUGCUUCUGUUGGCUGAGAAUUGAAGGGGGAGAAGAUUGCAUAAUUUGGGGUUCUAAAUGAUCCUUAAGUUGACAGGCUGGGAUUCCAGAUGAAGUCCAGUUUCCAUAAAAAUCUUGGUAUGAUUUCAGUUCACCUUUUUCUUCCAGUUUUUCCCGACCUUUCAAGAUCUUCUUUUGCCUGUAAGUCUGAUCACAGAACUAUAAACAUAUAAAUAGACAAAUUACUUAGAAUAGAUCAACGUUUUAACCAUCUAGACCUGCAGGGGAGAGUGACUAAGGCACAGUUAGUAUUUUAACUCAGUACAUGGUUUGUAAGGAUAAAUUCAAUGUUAUUUUUUUUUUUUAAUUGUAACUUACGAUCCAAAGGGCUUCUAUUGUUCAGAAUAUAUUGAGGUAUUAGCUAAACUAUGCCAAGCAAACAGAAUUUGCAUGUCCCUGGGAAGAGUGGGUGUCAUACUAGAAAUAUAAAUUACUGAUGCCUCCUGAAUUUUGACAUGCUAUUCCUUUCUCCUUCCUACUAACAGAAAACCAGACAAUGGCUUUACUUUAGGCAAUCGAUAUCAUGGUUAAGUCAUGGAUUUGACAUCAAGGAUAACUUAAUUGAUGCAUUAUUGAAGUGAUGACUAAAUCAUGUAAAUCCAUAUUCACCCAACAUCCAAGUUUAAUCUCAUUCCAAAAAAUAAAACUAAUAGCAUGAAUUAUGAAGAGACGAAGAGGAAUUUAAAUAAUAUAAUUUCUCUUUUCUGUCGCCAUUUUCCAUUCCAGAGAAGUACUCAGGAAGUCUUAAUAAGUUCAAGUGUAAGGUAACUUUUACCCUUCCCAGCUCUAAUUAGGUUUCGCUGUCCCUCCAAUCUAAUUUAAGAUCUAAUAUGAGGAAACCACACUGUAUUAGUGAAAGGAUCACAAUAUCAAGAUUUUCCAACUUCAAUUCACUGAUAUAACUUUUCUUGAAUCCUGGACAAAAGAACUUAGAACAUCAAAAGAUCAUAGCAGGAUUCUAAAAAACAAAGAUUGUAUUUGGUGCCUAUUGAGUCUAAAAGUUAUCUUGGAUGAAAAGGGUAAAAAUCAGUAAUAUGUCUGGUUCAGUAUCAAGAUUUUGAAAAUAUCAAAAGGAAGAAAAAAAAAGGUACCUUGUUUGCUAAUUCAUUUGGAAAAGCACCAUUUUCCUCUGUCAGUUGAGAGUUAGCCGCCGUGUUCUUUCCCACAACAGCCAAAUCUGUCUGCAAAAGCACAAAAAAAUAAAAUAAAAAAUGCUAAGCUUCUCUCAGCUCCUGCACUUGAGCAUGGGGCAUUAAUAAGUGAACUCAUUACUGAAAAUUGAGUCGCUAUACCUGCUCCUUCAGUAUAGGCUUGUUUUUACCUUCAUCAUAUUCUACAUGAUCAAGGCUUGCCUGAGUAUUCUGCAGACCAUGAGAUGCAGGGUCGUUCAUUUUUCCAUAGCCAAGGGCAAACAGCUGGUCCUCUUCUCUCGAAGCCACAGAUAUUGGAAAGGGCUUUACCGGGCUGUUAGUUGUACAUUUUGAAGAAGACCAUAGCUCAUCAGCAUUACCAAGAUUUACAUUGCCAAAUAUUGGGUCAUCAUUGCUGCAAAAUCACCACUUGUGAGGAUAUUGAGUCAGAUGGUUAUCACUGUUCUCCAACAGAAUCAAGAUAAAAUAUAAGAACAUUAGUGAAGAACAGAAAUGCAGGAAAGCCCUUCCACAAUUGAACAAGCUCACCAAUUCCUUACAAAUCCAGUGCUGCUAUAUUACAUUCUUUCUGCCAUUUAUACUUGUAAUUGAGGAUAUUGUGCUGCUAAAAACUCGCAUCCUUCAGGUUCUUUUCACAAUUAACAAAAUUAAGCCAGGAUCAAAAACCAUAAAUUUUCAAACAACUAGUCUUUUUUGUUAGUGUUGCUUUCAGCAGACAGCACUUGUUUGGAAAAGGAUAUAGAUCCAAAACAGAAGAAACUACAAUUAUUAAAAGAGUCUGGUUGUUUUUCCUUCACAACAACACUCUUGUAGUACAUGAUUUUUUUCUUCUGAAAUGAAAAUAGGCAGUGAGCAUAAUUAUUUUGUCCGCGAAACUUUCACUUCACAGUCAGUAAUAAGAAUUUGUUCAAAUUAUCAGAAUAAUGAGAUGUACAAGCUUCCAUAUCAGGGUGCUGCUGACCAUCUUUCAUUUAGGUGCAGAAAGUAAGAAAUGGUAACUGUGCUUUACCUAAAAAUUCGAUCAAGAUCAUCAAAGCUUCCAAUGCUAGCCCAGCCAUAAUCAACAAAAUCACCUUGCUCUUCACCUUCAUGAGGAUUUUGAAAAAUCUCAGUGUCCUUAUCAAGAUGAUCUGUCUCUGCGUUUUAAAAAAAAGAAUUAGAAUGACAGUAGCAUGUAAGAUACUAUGCUAUGAAAACAUCAUGCAACUCGUCACCCUAUCUACAUUUUUUCCUUGUAAUUGAAAUCUCAUCACCUGCUGAUGAAUCGAGUUUGGUAAUCUCAGUUAGAUUGUUAGAGAUUGAAGUUUCCAAGGAAUCCUGCUCAGUUUUGGCAGCAUUACGUGAGGACAAGUUAGGCCAUCGGUCCAUGUCAAGUCCUAAGGAAGAAGUUCCUUCACUUGUGUCAACAUUCGAAAUGCUCUCCAGCUUUCUGCCAUCAGUAUCAACUUUAGCCCCGGGUGCCUUCUGCUCACUAGAUUUAAUGGUGCUAGCUUCUUCACUCGAUUCCUUUUUCUUGCAAUAAUCUUCACUUGCCUCUGGAUAUGGCACGAUAUGGUCAUCACUAUCUUCAGCCUCACCCCAUAUUAUGUUCGUAAGCUGAAAAGAUAGUGAGUAAGCAUCAUCACUAAAUGUGGGAUACAUGAGAAGAAUGAAACAGUCACAAGUUAAUCUCUGGGUAACUUGGCAAGACUAUUUUCCCCAACAUAAUAUUCUGAAUAAUACACUAAUUAAUCAGUUCAGUUCCUUGUAAGGUGUGCGUGGGCACAUAUGAGCACACAUGUGUGUACGAGAGUUGCUAGUGUCAAUGAGUUGGGAACAAAAUAUUUAAUUGAGUCAUGCAGAAAAUACUAAAAUGUUCUAAAUUGUGUUAAAAAUAAAAUAGAAAGUAGAAGCCAUUGGCAUGAUUCAUUUAAAAAUUUCUACAAAAUUAAAAAAAGAAAACAAAACAAAAGGAGGAGAUGGCCCAAAGCAUGCUCUCAAUAAGAUGAAGUAAGACCUAAAGCUUCAUUGCAUGUACAGAGCACUUUGGAAACUUCAGUCUGGACAAAUAAAACCAAGGCAAAGUAUCUUCUUUUUGGAACUAAUUUCUUCACAGUAAGAUAUAACAUCCAACGCUACCUGCAUCACUUUCUCAUGGUCCUCUCUGACUCGAGUGAUCAUAAACCUUCUCAAAUCCCAUUUAAAGAAGAUUCCCUUUCUCACUUUUCGUUGGUAUUAUUUGACACCAAGAUCACAACCAAACAUUACCAAUAAGUGUGUCACCGGAGAAAGAAACUUAGGUGCCCUAAUACCAUAAAUAAAACCUAUUCAAUAAAAAUUAGACAAUAUUUUAUAGCUGUACAUCUAUAAUCAAAGUAAAAUGCCCAAAACUCUGAAUCCUGAAUAUGUGAAUCAAAGUAAAAGGCCCUAACUGAUGCACCAUCAGCAGUCUCCUACUUUGACUUGUGAUUAAUGACCUAGCAGUUCACUUCAACAACAUUAGUGAACAUAAGUUUGAAUUUCAGACCCAGCAAGAAGAAGUACAUUUUCCAGUAGGCAUGCAUAUCACCUUUUUAUCAAUAUCCAUGGAAGACAAACCAAGCAAUAUCAAGUUUUUUUCUGCUGGAUAUCCAAUAAAAAAUACCUCAUAGUGUGAACAUCUUUAAGAAGGAGGAUAUCACAUUGCACCCCAUCAACUGAUCCACAAAUAAAUUUGCAUCUUUCCAUCAGUUCCAAGCUCUUUGUAAGGAAAAGGGAGGGAAGUGCCUUCAAAGAUACCUUCUUCAUAGCUUCUUUAGAUAUGAAUCCACACGGCUUUCGUAAUCACCAAUCACUAUGCGCAGCUUCUCUUAUCAUCACAAGCUCCAUCUCUUUCCACGUCCUAACUUCAUUCGAUGAACUCUUCCCUCAGUUCCCAAGAAAAAUUAUAUUCAUCCCUCCUGCAGCCUUUUCCCUGCAUAUUUCCACCAGCUUCAUAGCUAUAUGGCCUGUGAAAACUGUCGUUGUUGCAGUGAUUCUGAACAACAAAAAUAACAAAGGAUAAUGCUUGUGUUUAAGAAGAGAUUGAUGAAUGAAAAGCUUAAAUACUUUAUUCAUAACUGCAGCUCAAUUUAUAGAGCUGAUACAUAACAAACUCCUACGAUCAUGGUCCUACAUUCAAGCCAUGAUCAAUUGAUAAUGGAAAUAACAGAGCUGCGAAAUAGCAGCAAGAACAAGAGAAUAGGAACAGAAUUGACUAAAUCAAAAAUUAAAGAAAGAAUAAAAUUCCAGCUCAGCAGUCCUGAACAUUAUUUCUAACACUCCUCCUUGUUUAGGAGCUGCAAACUCCCAACUUUGUUCUCAGAAAUUCGAAUUUGUUGACUGGCAGUGGUUUGGUGAAAAUAUCAGCUGCUUGUUCUUCAGUUUUGCAGUAAAUAAGAAUGAUACUCCAAUCUUUCUGCACCUCUCUCAAAAAGAAUAAUUUGAUGUUGAAGUGCUUGGUUUUCCCGUGAAACACAGGAUUAUUAGAGAUGGAAAUGGCAGCUUGAUUGUCAACUAGAAUUUCUGUGCUUUCCUUUUGCUCCAGGUUAAGAUCAGAUAAAAUUUUCCUCAGCCACAAAGCUUGAUUGACAGCAGCUGUUGCAGCCACAAACUCAGCUUCAGCAGUGGAUUGGGCUACGGUUUCUUGCUUUUUUGAAUUCCAUGAAAACACACCAGAACCUAAAGAGAAACAGUAGCCUGAUGUGCUCUUCAAGUCAUCAAUUGAGCCUCCCCAAUCACUGUCAGAGUACCCGACCAGUUUGAACUCUCUACUUCUUGUGUAUCUUAUGCCAAAAUUGCAGGUUCCUUUGACAUAUCUUAUCACUCUUUUAGCAGCCUUGAAAUGCAAUUCACUAGCACAAUGCAUGAAUCUAGACAAGAUACUCACAGCAUUCAAAAUAUCAGGCCUAGUUGCAGUGAGAUACAUCAAGCAUCCAACAAUUUUUCUGAAUUGUGCUUGAUCAACCUUCUCGGCUCCAUCUUCUUUACAUAGCUUCUCCUUUUGAUUCAUAGGAGUGCUUACUGCUUUGCAAUCUUCAAGUUUGAACUUUUUGAGGAUUUCUUUGGCAUACUUCUUCUGACAUAUGAACACUUCAUGUUCAGCUUGCUUAACUUCCAUUCCAAGAAAAAAGGACAUCAAACCCAAAUCUGUCAUCUCAAAUACACUCAUCAUCUCUUGCUUGAACGUCUCCACAUUAUUGUUGUUAUUUCCUGUUACAAGCAAAUCAUCAACGUAAAGUGAGAUGAUAAGGAUGUUAUCACCAUUUUGCUUGAUGUAAAGAGUCGAUUCAGAGAGGCUUUUAGUGAAUCCCAAGUGCUGCAAAUGUUCAUCGAUUCGGCUGUACCAAGCUCUUGGAGCUUGCUUCAAUCCAUAUAGUGCCUUCUUAAGAAGACAGACUUUGUCCUCCUCUCCUUCAUUUGCAAAGCCUUCUGGUUGCUCAGUAUAGAUCUCCUCCUGCAAAACACCAUUUAAAAACGCUGACUUGACGUCCAUUUGAUACACCUUCCAAUUCAGUUGUGCUGCAAUGGCAAGUAGCAGCCUGAUAGUGUCAAGUCUUGCUACCGGUGCAAACGUGUCUGAGUAGUCCACGCCAAAGAUUUGUGCAUAACCCUUCACCACUAGCCUGGCUUUGAGCUUAUUGAUUGAGCCAUCAGCGUUGAGUUUUGUUCGAUACACCCAUUUUACACCGAUUACAUUUCUGUUUUGAGGUCUGUCAACCAACUCCCACGUGUUGUUUCUCGUGAUCAUGAGAAGCUCCUCCUUCAUCGCAGCAAGCCAAUUUUGAUCUAGCUUGGCUUCUUCAAAGUCUGCUGGUUCACACACAGCAAUGUUGCACCUUUGAUACACAUCAAGGAGUGACCGUGUGCCUCUAACAGGAGUGUCAUCUGUCAUGUUGAUGUCCCAAUCUUCCAUGCUUUGAUCAUCUGUGUCUGAAACAAGAUAAUUGCCUUUUGGAGAGGCUGAAUCUUCUUUGAUUGCAUCGUUCCAAUCCCAUUCUUCAUCUUCCAGGAAUUGGACAUCUCUGCUUAUAACGAUUUUUCCAGUUUGUGGCUGGAAAAUCUUAUAAGCCUUUGAAACUAAGCUGUAGCCAACAAAAAUGCCUGGAAGUGCUUUCUUGUCAAGUUUAUCCCUCUUGACCUGUGGAACAAGGGUGAAGCACAAACAUCCAAAUACCUUAAGAAAAUUCAGAGAUGGUUUGUAACCAUACCAUGCCUCAAAGGGUGUUUGAUCCUUCAAGGCUCUUGUAGGCAGUCGAUUUUGCAAGAACACAGCAGUGUUUGCAGCCUCUGCCCAGAAUUUCUUUGGUAAAUUCUUCUCAUGUAGCAAGCAUCUUGUCAUUUCCAAUAUGAACUUGUUUCGCCUCUCACUAACUCCGUUUUGCUGAGGAGUAUACGGAGUUGUUAGCUGAUGAUGAAUGCCUGCCUCCUCACAAAAAACGUUGAAGGCAUUGGAAGUGUAUUCCUUGCCAUUGUCUGAUCUGAGGGCUUGAAUUUUGCAGCCACUUUCAUUUUCAACUUUGGCCUUGAAAUUCCAGAACACCUGUGCUACCUCUGACUUGUGCUUCAAGAAGAAAAUCCAGCACAUUCGGCUGUAAUCGUCAAUGAAGACAGCAUAAUACAGACUCCCAUUUAGAGAGAGUGUCCUUUGUGGUCCUGCAAUGUCAGUAUGAAUCAAUUGCAGCUUCCUUGUUGCUCUCCAUGUGGCUUCUGGAAAGGGCUUCCUGUUUAGCUUGCCAGUGUGACAAGUUCUGCAGCUGGAUAUGUGAUCAUCAAGUGCUGGGAAAUCCUUAGCCAUCAUCUUGGAUUUCAUAAGCAUCAGCCCUCUAUGAUGAUAGUGCCCGAGCCUCUUGUGCCAAAUAUCUGUGAUAUUUUCUUUAAUUGGGAAAGCAGUAUGCUCCUCCUCCAAUGGAUUUAGAGCAAAACUCUUCCCUUUCAUGAUUAUUUUGAAAAUAUCAUGACCAUUCACAUCUUUGAUCAAGCAGCAAUUGUUUUCAAACACUACUUUAUAACCCUUCUCAAUAAGCUGACCAACACUGAAUAAAUUUUGAUUUAUACCAGGGACAUACAAUACAUCAGAGAUGAACUUAGUACCUGAGCAAGUCAAGAUUGCCACGGUUCCCUUUCCUUCAACAACAAGGUAUUCUCCAUUUCCAAUUCGAACCUUUGAAGUUGUUUGUUUCAGCUCCUUGAAUAUGUUUCUGUCAUGUGUCAUGUGGUUGGUGCAACCACUAUCAAUGAGCCAGCUUUCACUUGAGUCAUUUCUGGAAAUGCAAGUGGCCACAAACAAUUGAUCUUCUUCUUCUUGAUCAGCAAUUUGAGCUUCUUCACCAUGCUGUUGAAUUUUGUUUUUGCAGAUGACAGCCUCGUGCCCCAUUUGAUUGCAUUUGUUGCACUUAGCUUCUGGUCUUCUCCAACACUUAAAAUGUGGAUGUGAUCUCCUUUUACAAUGCUGGCAUGGAGGAAAAGGUCCUUUUUUGUUUCCAGUGUUGCUCCUUGUUGAAAUUCCUGGAAUCACCUGAUGAUGCUUGACUGCUUCCAUUCUUCUUGUAAUUCUUUCCUUUUUCUCUAUGCUUGACGAAUAGAGCUCCUUCAAUCUCAUCUUCCUGUCUCAUGAUCCUCCUUUGCUCCUGAGCUUGUAAUGCAUUUAGCAUUUCUGUCAAAGUAAUUUUUGACAUAUCCUUGGUAUUUUCCAAGGAUGUAAUUGUAGCUUCAAAGAUUUCAGGAAUUGUUACAAGAAUUUUUUGAACAAUUCUUGACUCAGGCAGGGACGAGCCAAGUAAACUGAUUCGGCUUGCAAUAUUAAGCAGCCUGUCAGAGUACUCUUUGAUGGAUUCAGUCUUCUUCAUCUUCUGCAACUCGAAAUCACGCAUCAAGUUCAACACUUGCAUACCUUGAAUUCUUUCAUCCCCUUCAUACUCAGUCUUGAGAAACUCCCAUAUCUCCUUUGCUGUUUUCAGAGACAUGAUUCGAGUGAAAAUGGUGGAUGCUACUACAGCAAACAAGCACGCCUUUGCCUUUGAUUUUUUUGUCUUCUUCUCCUUCUGUGAUUUGAUCUGCACCAUGGUGGGAUUGUUUGGAAGUGCAGGGAUUUCAUAAUCUUCUUCCACUGCCUCCCACAAAUCCAAAGCCUCUAAGUAUGUCUCUAUCCGUACUGCCCAAAACUGGUAAUUGUCACCAUUGAACACUGGUGGAGCAAUUGAUGAGAAGCUUACUUCUGUCUCCAUGGGUUACAACACAGAUCCCUUUAAAUCAAGAUGCUCUGAUACCAAUUGUCGUUGUUGCAGUGAUUCUGAACAACAAAAAUAACAAAGGAUAAUGCUUGUGUUUAAGAAGAGAUUGAUGAAUGAAAAGCUUAAAUACUUUAUUCAUAACUGCAGCUCAAUUUAUAGAGCUGAUACAUAACAAACUCCUACGAUCAUGGUCCUACAUUCAAGCCAUGAUCAAUUGAUAAUGGAAAUAACAGAGCUGCGAAAUAGCAGCAAGAACAAGAGAAUAGGAACAGAAUUGACUAAAUCAAAAAUUAAAGAAAGAAUAAAAUUCCAGCUCAGCAGUCCUGAACAGUAUUUCUAAUUUCUGCUGGAUAUCCAAUAAAAAAUACCUCAUAGUGUGAACAUCUUUAAGAAGGAGGAUAUCACAUUGCACCCCAUCAACUGAUCCACAAAUAAAUUUGCAUCUUUCCAUCAGUUCCAAGCUACUUUGUAAGGAAAAGGGAGGGAAGUGCCUUCAAAGAUACCUUCUUCAUAGCUUCUUUAGAUAUGAAUCCACACGGCUUUCGUAAUCACCAAUCACUAUGCACAGCUUCUCUUAUCAUCACAAGCUCCAUCUCUUUCCACGUCCUAACUUCAUUCGAUGAACUCUUCCCUCAGUUCCCAAGAAAAAUUAUAUUCUUCCCUCCUGCAGCCCUUUCCCUGUAUAUUUCCACCAGCUUCAUAGCUAUAUGGCCUGUGAAAACGACUCCCAAAUUAAAACACUUGAGAAGCUCUAAUAGUUUUCUUAUUAUUUCUUCACUCUUUGUCAGUGUGCCACAUUCAAAUACUACUGAUCGAUUCUUCCUCGUCACAACCACUCACUUUCCCCUAAAUCCCAUACCAACUAAAUCAAUAUCUCUUAUCACUUAUCAAAACUCCAUCUAAUUUCCAAAUGAAUCACACCAUUUGAACACUUUGCCAAUUCCUAAUUCCUUCAAAAUUUUCAUCCAUCAAAAAAAAAACUGCAAGUCAUACUUUUUCACUCUAACACAGUUCUCCUUAUAAUCAAUCUUCCAAUUUAACCAUACUCUUGCCUCUAAAUCUGGCACGCAAAGCUUCUACAUAACCUUCCAACGUUACUUCUUGCCUCCCAACAAGGGUGGAGGCAUGCAUGGGCUAGGGUGGGCUCUAGCUCAGGUGAAGAUUUUAUUAAUAUUUUUGUUCUAGUUUUAUGUAAAGAAAAUUUGUAAUUCUCAAUUUACGUGGAGCCUUCUAAUAUGAUGCUUUAACUUGAGUUAAAAUUUUAUAAUUUUUGAAGAAAUUCAGAAAUUUGAUAAAAAACAAAAUCAUAAUUUGACCAAUUUUAUGUUAUUGGGUGUAAUUUUCAAUCUGACCAUCAGAUUGAGCUAAAAUUUUACAAGGAAUCUUAAAAUAUAUUAAAUAAAAUCUGGUUUAAAUUUUAAAAUGAACAGAGUUUGGUAGUGCUAACAAAAAAAACAUCAAAUAAAAGCAAAAUGACUCAUUAAGGGUAAAAUUGUUAUUUGCCAUAAAAAAAAAUCAGUUCUUCCUUCCUUUAUAUGUUGCUGACUGGGCAGAAACAAAAUAGAAAAUGAAAGAAAAGAAAAGGCGAGAGAAAAAGAGAGAAAAGUAAGGGAAAAACAUAAAAAAAAUCCUAGAAAAAAAGAUAAGAAAAGUGAGAAAAUAACCUUAUAAACUUAUAAAGUCCAACUUAUAAAAUAUUAAUCUAAGGAAGAAGCAAGUGAAGGAAGGAGGAAUUGAGAGAGGGAAAAAAUUUAAUUAUUUUAUUUUUCAGUUGACAUGAGAUUGUUAUUUUAUCCCGGUUAAGGGAUUGUUAUAAUAUCAAUUCAAAUUCGAUUAUAGAUGAAUUAUAUUUCACAAAACAUCGAAAGAUGUAACUUUAAUAGUGAGUUUAUUUUUACUUUCACUUUAAUUUUAUAUAUUUUUAAAUUUAUUUUUUAAUAUUUUAGGUAAUGUAUUUGAAUUAAAACUUUACUAUUAACUUUAAAAACUCAUGUACAUUAAUUAAUAAUUUAUCUUAAAAAAAAUAUUAUAUAUUUAUUUAAUAGUGCAGGACAGAAAAAAAAUCUAGCAAAAUUUAUUCUUUCCAACUUUAUUUGUUUUGACUGAAAAAUAAUCUUUUAUUUUUGUACUUCACAGGCAUGUGGUGGCAAAAGUCGAGCACGAUAUAUAUAUAUAUAUAUAUAUAUUUCUUAAGAUACAUAUGGCUGGUGAUUGGCGGAUGAUGGUGUCAUUAAGACUCUUGGUGUGUACCCUCAUCCUUUCUGUUUAUAGUUUAGUCCAUUUGCAGCUUUAAUGGCUACUAUCAGUUGCUUUGGAACCUGAUAUCACUAGUCUCAUUAUGGUACAGACAAGCUCAGGAUGAUCAAUCCUUGAGAAUCCACAUCCAACCAGAAAUAAACCGAAUUUCGAGCAUAAAUGACUCGAACUCGCUGGAAUGCUUUGGCACCUCCUUCAAUCCUAGUUUGGGAAACAGAAACACUAUCACCGUUAGUUUUCACCGAGGAAGACAGCACCCCCAUUCUCUCCUGCUGUGCUGAUGAUGGGGCAUGAGAGAUAGUCCAAAGGAUUUGCCUCACGUUGAAGUAUGCAACUGUCUAUGGUUAGCCUUCUCUUUUGUGAUGCAAGCAGCAACCAAGCUCUGCCUUCACUGCAUAAAGAAAUGAUUGAUUCACGAAGCCUGACUUCUUUGAAUUUGAAAGAUUAGAAUCAUUGGAAGAGAAAGAAGAAAAGGUGUAAAUGACAGCGGAAUGCUAUUAUACCAUCUGCCAAGGUAAUGCCAAGUCUACUUGCGAGGUAUUUAUAUCAUAAUUUUUAAAUAUUAGAUUGUCAGCGCAUACCAAGCAAAGAGCUUCGAUUCACAACGAAAUGAAUCCGUGCUAUGGGUUAUCAUCUGAUAUCAUCAUUCAUCAACAAUUAAUCGAAUGGGUUUAUACAUGAAAUGUUUUUAGUUUCUUAAUCAAUAAUUGAAGUUUUUAAUUGGAAGUCAAAUUAUUCUUAGAGAAUAAUAUAAUUAAACUAAACCUUGGUUAAUUGAUUGCUAGCAAAGGUGUACAUUUACAUGGCUUGAAAAUGAAGCUUAUCUUCCAUUUAAUUUUAUCAAAUAAAUUAUUUAUAGAGUAGUUUUGAGUGAUAUAAAUCAAAUAGGAAUUAAAUCAUGUUAAAACAUUUAAUUUUGUUGUCCCUUUAUAUUACAAACAGCAACAUUACGUAUCAUGUUUAUAAAUUCCAAACCACUCAUUUGAAACUAACGCUUUGUAUUUUUUUUAUAAAAUAAAAUAAAUCCUAACACUGAUGUGGACUAAAAUGUUUUUCAUAUAAAAUAUGAGGAUCAAAAAACUUUCAUGAACAUUUAAAAUAUGAUGUGGACUAACAUUUUUUUUUUGUUAAAAUUAGUUCGGUUUGUACUUUCUAGAUCGUUUUGAUGUGCUGAUAUCAAAAAUAAUUUUUAAAAAAUAAAAAAAACAUUAUUGGCAUACUUUUCGGCACGAAAAGCUAUUUGAAAAACAACAACUACCACACUUCCAAACACCCUCACUUAGUAUAAAAAAGAAAUCAUCACGUCGUUAUUUUCCACUCAGUAUAAAAAAGAAAUCACACGCCUUAGAGGAUAAAUAAGCAAUGCGAAAGUUAAAUAAAUUUAUGAAUUACCAGCAUAAUUCACACUAAUUCCCCUCUCUAACUUGCACCUCAUCAAUUUUUAUUCCUUUACUCUCGAACGAAAAUAAUAAUAUUUAAGUUAUUAAACCCAACUCGAAUUAUAAUUCAAGUAGGGGGUUAACAUAAAUCAAUACAAAGUGAUAUGACUUUAGGAGUUUUUUCAAAAAAACAAAUUAAAAUGAUGUGAACUUUUUUAAAUUAAAUUGAGUUUUAAUUGAUCAAAUAAGUUGGAUUACACCAGGUCAAAUUCUAUCCGAUUUAAUUUAAAAUUCAAUCUAAACUCUUAACUUACCUUCAGUCGGGUUUAAUAACAUAUUGACGUAACUUUAGACAAGUUAAGACAUGUUAUUUGUAUAAUCAGACCAAAUUCUCAAUCUUUAUUUAUCAUAAUAACGAUCCAACCCAUUAAUUUUAAAUGGGCCUAUAAAAACUCUAACUUGCCAUAAAAUCAGCAAUUUUACAUCCUAUUUUAUAAAAGACACUCCAACAUAAUUAAUUAAAAUAGUAUUUGAUAUUGUGGUAAUAAUUAUUUUUUAAAGUAUUUUUUAUUUAAAAAUAUAUUUAAAUAAUUUUUAAUUUUUUAAUUUUAAAAAUUAAUAUUUGACAUUACAUAUUAAAACAAUCUAAAAACAUAAUUUUUAAAAAAAGUUAUUAUUAUUUAAGAAAAACUGUAUCACCAUACAAACAAAUCCAAAAACACAAUUUUUUUAAAACAAUUAUUAUUCUUUUAAAAAAAAUUGUAUCACCAUAAAAACAAAUAAUUUCUAAGAGUGACAGUGAGCAACAGAAAUAAACCAUGGCAGAAACUAAAAAUACCUUUAACGGAAACUGUGCUUCGAUUCACAACGUUUUCAUCCUUGACCAAUGCUUGACAGAGUAGACGACGGGUCAGAACAGAGCUACCAGUCCUGCAUUUCUCGAAGGAUAGUUUUGGAAAUGCUCUAAGACCGUGGCCAUUAUGCUGUGUAUGUUUGAUAAUGCAGUGAAUAUAAUUUUAUAAAAAUAUUUUUCAAUUAAUAAAAUAUUUCUUAAAGAAAUUUUCAAUAAUUUUGUUAAGAAAUUUGCGUGGCCAGACAUUUUAAAGAAUGAUGCUAAAUUUGGGGUUACAUAGGCAGCUGCUGGCUCCUCUUGUAUCUUUUGGGUUAAAGGCAUCGUUUGUUUCCUGCCGUUGUCUAUUCUCCGGUCGUAGAAGCUGACUGCAAUCCUCCGACUCUGUUCUCAUAGUCAGAUGCUUCCUCUGUUUUCUCCUGGCAUUAAAAUUACAGCUCACCCUCAAAUCUUAUUGCCUCUGGUCAUUUUCUUGAAUGGUGCUUGGUGUUGUCUUCUAGCGUUUGCAGUAUCGUAAUUUGCUGGAGUUUUUGUAGUAUUUGAAUUGUGGGUGAUUGAGCUGCAGAAUUUGUGCAAUUGAAUUGAAUUUGUGCUAUGGGUUAUCACGCGAUAUCAUCAUUCAUCAACAAUUAAUUGAAUGGGUUUCUACAUUAAAUAUUUUUAGUUUCUUAAUCAAUAAUUGAAGUUUUUAAUUGGAAGUGAAAUUAUUCUUAGAGAAUAAUAUAAUUAAACUAAAUCUUGGUUAAUUGAUUGCUAGCAAAGGUGUAAAUUUACAUGGCUUGAAAAUGAAGCUUCUCUUCCACUUAAUUUUAUCAAAUAAUAUAAUUUUGAAAUAAAUUAUUUAUAGUAGUUUUGAGUGAUAUAAAUCAAAUAGGAAUUAAAACAUGUUAAAACAUUUAAUUUUGUUAUACCUAGGUCCCUUUAUAUUACUAACAACAAUAUUAUGUAUCGUGUUUAUAAAUUCCAAACCACUCAUUUGAAACUAAAGCUGUGUAUGCUUUUUAUAAAAUAAAAUAAAUCCUAACCUUCAUAUGAGGAUUAAAAAACAUUCAUGAAAAUAUAUGAAAAGCUAUUUUUGUCUCUAUGGGCUAGGUACGAUGUAUUCAGGUAUGGAUAUGGGUCUGGGCUUAGGAUGAUAGAUAUGGGUCCAGUAGGAGCACGAUAUUUUUUAAUGGUAAGGAAUGAGCUAUGCCUACCAGGCUGGUUACUCGGUCCAUUCACCUCUCUACCUGAGGCUUGUAUAGUUUAUUGAAAAAAACAAACUUAUAUCGUUUCUUUUAGAAUUCAUUUCUUUAUAAAGCAUGACAAUGUAACCAAAUUUGCAUUAUCUAUAUAAAAUAAAAGAAAAUAUAUAUUUUCACAAAUUCUACCAUAUUGCUCGACCAAAAUAUUUAUUUUUUGUUUCUAUACAUAUUAUAAUUAGUUACAAAUAUAACACCCAAUUUAAUAAAAUCAUAUGAGCAAAAUUCCAGGACUUUCCAUGGACAAAACCCAAUUUAAUAUAUAUAUAUAUAUAUAUAUAUAUAUAUAUAUUUCUCUACAUAUUCAAUAUAUUCAUCUAAAUGUAUUUAUCUGAAUGCUAUAUUAUCUUAUAAUUUAACUGGGACCAAAGAUAAAUGAUAACAUUUAUUUAAAUGCUAUUUAUGAUUGACACACAAAACCCUGUUUUCAUAGUUAAUUGAAGGAUAAUAAAUGGAAGAAUGACAAAUUGCCAGGUGGAAAGUUAUACCUCAUCACAACAAAUACUUUCCAGCCAAUUAAUUAAUGGCGGUUACAACUAAUUACAACAAAUACUCUUCACUUCUUCUCUAUAGUUAUGUUAAUGGUAAGAAAAGGUUGGAUAUUAGAAUUUUGAAAAAUAAAAUAAAAGAUAAGUGAUGUUCAGAUUAGAACUUGAUAUUUGAUAUAAAAUAUAUAUUUUUUAAUUAAACUUUAAUAACAAGUCAUAAAUCAACUCAAAAAUAGUAAAUAUUGUAAAAAAAAAAUGGUAAUAUUAUACACAAAAAAAGAGACUCAUGAAAUGACAUAAAAAAUAGAAUUUUUGUAUAUUUUUAUCUAUUCAUGAACUUGAACAUGAUUUAUAUUUAUAUAAUCAUACAUUUUAAUUGGAAAAUAAUCAAUAAAGGAAGAAAGAAUCGACUUUAAACAAAUAAAAAGAAAAUAGAAGAUGAAAUAUAAAUCACGUAAGAAUUAAGUCUUCUCGAAGACUAGCUUAAGAGUAAGAAAGAGGCAAAAUCUAUAGGAAUUUAAUUAAUAAAUGUUUCAUGCGUGUUGUUUCGAAUUGUAUAAAUAUAAAGAAAAUACAUUUAUACAUAUUAUAUUAUAAUGAAUAUAUUUUUCUGUGCAAAAUUGUUAUUAUUUUUUCAAAUCAAACCCCCGGUUUGAGUAUUGAGCAUAAAAAGAAUUUGGAUUGUUGAAUCAUUUAAACAAUUAGUGGAUCGCCAAUGAAUCAUUUUAUUAAAAUGAUAUUUUGCUUUUUUAUAAAAAAAUUUAUUAAUAUUGAUUUAACUAAGUUUGUAUCAGAUUUUACCAAAUCAAAUAAAUCAUUACAAAUUCAAUUGAGUAAUUAAGAUUUUAUCUUAUCAAUGUUUUUUUCUAAUUCAAUUUUAAACCUGGUUAAUGCCAGGAUCUGGAGGAUGUGCUUCCUAUAUCAAAUCACCAUGCAGGGAAGAGUUUAAACAUUUUUCAUUUUUCCUAUAUCAAAAAAUUACAUUUCUUAGCAAAACACACGAGUUAUAUAUAUAUAUUUAAACAAAUUACAAAUAAUCUAAUCAAUUGAUUAAAGUUGUGACACCUUAUAGUACGUAGACGACUAUAUAAUACUAUAAGAUAUUUAACAAUAUUUAUUUUUAUGAAGAGUAAUAUGUUGCUUGUCUAUGUAAUUUCUCUUUUAAAUUGGGUUUAAUUUCAAAAUCAACGUGUAACUUUGUACGUAGGGGCAUGUCAUGGGCAGUGUUGGACCAAAUUCUCAAUCUUUAUUCAUAGAGGUGGAUCAUGAUCGAGAUUCGAGCCUAUUAAUUUUAAAUGGAUCUACAAAACCUCUAUUCGGCCAUAAAAAAUAAAAUCUCAGGUGCCCAUCAAUGAUAGGAUCUAUUUUGUAAAAGACAUUUCAACAGUAUUAAAAUAAUGUUUAGUAACGUGAUAUCUGAUAUUUUUAAAAAUAUUUUUUUAUUUAAAUUAUAUAUUUUUAAAAUUUAUAUUUAAUAUUAUUAUAUUAAAAUAAUAUAAAAAUAUAAAAAUAUAUUUUUAAAAAAAAUCUUGGUGUCAAAGUGAGUGAAUAAAAAAAAUAAAUCAUGGCAGAAACCACGAACACCUUUAACAGCAAUGUCGUUUCAGUUUGACAGAGUUGUGUUAAAAAAAAAAUUCCUUCAAUUUGUAUUGACUUUUUAAUGUUUUAAGUUUACAGUGCUCCUAUAUAUAAACAGAGAAGAUGUUCUUAAAAACUAUGGAUUCCUGCUAUAAACAGGACUUAUACAAAUGUGGAAUAAAUCAAUUACUAAACUAUGGAAUAGGACUUAUACAACUGUGGGAUAAAUCAAUUACCAAACUUUUUCUUACAAACUCUCAACUAAAUCACUUUGUAAUUAUACUAACACUUUGAGUCAAGUUAGUGCAAAGAUAUCUUACCCAACUUGUCAAGGGAGCUCUGAAAGUUUUUGCUGAAGACAACUUUUGUAAAGAUAUUCGUGAGCUGAUUCUUUGAUUUGACAAAUGAAAAGUUAAUCACUUAUUAUUUAAGAUUUUGUUUAAUAAAAUGUUUGUCUAUUUCAAUAUGUUUCGUGUGAUCAUGUUAAAUUGGGUUAUAAAAUAUUUUAAUGGCAGCUUAAUUAUCACAGUAUAGGUUCGUUCUUGAUUUGGGAGCAAAACCAAUUUCUGAUAAUAAUCUUCUGAGCUAAAGCAGUUUACGUAGUCCUUUUACCGUCCCUUGAAACUCAACCUCUGUGCUUGACAAGGUAGCUACUUUUUAUUUCUUGCUUCUCCAUGUGACUAAAUUGCCACCAAUAAACGUGAAGUAUGCUCAUUAAUCUCAUGCAUAUUUUGAUUAUUUUGUUGAAUAUUUUAAUCAGGUUUAUGAUAUGGAUUCUUAUAAUAAAAUUUUCAUUUAAUUUUUUUAUUUUCAUGGGGGGUUUUAAUGUAGGGAACAUAGGAAGUGUAAAGGUGGCAACUUUUUUGCUUUAUUUUAUACCGUAUUUAAAGCCAGUGCCUUUGAGGUUUUAUGGCAGCCCAUCAACAAUAUUCUUAGUAGGAUCUUAUCAUUUAUGGUACUAGCCUGUUGGGCCUCCCUUUUCAUUAUUUUAAGCGUAGUUGCCACCCAUCUUUCUGUGGCUCCAUGUUCAUUCUCCAAACCAUUCAUAUAGGUAUCUUAAAUAGUGUAGCUGGAGCUUUACUGGGUAUGCUUUUUAAUAUAUUUUUAAGUAAAAUAUAUUUUUAAAAAUAUUUAAAAAACAAACAUUACUGUACUUUCAAAAACAUAAUCCUCUUGUAUCUGACGCUUUAAAUUCCAACAAUGAGUUACUGAUUAGAUAAUAUCUACAUUCAAUUAAAAAUAUAAUUUCUUGACAGCGAAAUAAAGAAAAAAGUAGCAACCCUGUAAUAUCUAGGUAAUUUCUAUGCUCUUUAAAUUAGGCCUCUAAACUGAGACUGUAAUGAGCCCAUGACAGAGGAAGACAUGAAAGUGUAAUUUCAGAAGACCAUUAUUCAUAUAACAAAUUUAGUAAAUUUAGUAAACUCGUAAAGUUAAACCGAUUUUACUAAUUCUGUACUAGUUAGAUUUGAUUUUAUUAAUUUUAAAUUUUUAGUUAGAUUUAGUAUGUUAAAUAUAUAUUAACUUAAAUUUUACUAAUAACUCAUAAUUUUAACAACCUUGCUUGUAAUAGCUCUUGUGGUGGUUGAUGUUUAAAAAAGAUAAUUGAGAAAUUAUUUUCACUCGUGACUUUUUUGAUUUAAAUAAGUAUUGAAUUAAAAAUAUUUAAUUAAAAUUAUUGUUUUAAUUUAAUUACCACAAAAGAUACUGGUGAAGGUGGAGAGGAUGCAAAAGAUGAUUGGGUAUCCUAUUAAUCGUCAAAACAUCAACUAUUGUGGUCAAUUCUGCUGACUGCUGAGACUAAAAGCCAACCACUUGAAUAAUGGGCAUUAGCUGUUUAGCACUCCUUGGUAAACACUUCAGGCUCCUUUCCCGCCCCUUUCCUCGCUGGUUCCUUAAUAGCUUCAAGGGGUGCGAGCGCCUCGUUCGAGGAUUGAGCAUAAAGGACUAAAAGAGUUCAAUAAAUACUAAAAGACAUAAAGUGAAGUUUUUAUAAUAUUCAUAGCAAUGGUCAUCAGCUAAUUUAUAAUUUAUUUAUCUACUUUAUCAAUGAAAUAAAAGUGAUAAAAGAAAAGGAGAGAAGAAAUAAAGUGAAGUCUUCUUCUGCAUUAUUAGCACAUCACGUGAAAAUAAAGAAUGGCAUAUAAUAAAAGUUAUUCCAAUCAAACCUCCUUUUUCAACCGAUGGGGUCUCUUGUCAAAUAAAGCAAGGACAGACCGAGUAAGAUGUGGGACCUAACUGCACUUUCCUGGCACGCGUAGUUCACGCAUACACAAGCACAUUCAGAAUAGUAUUCAAUUUAAAAACACAAAAAAAAAAUAAAGGAAUAAAAGAAGGAAAAGUGAUCAAAGAAGAAGAGAGAAGAAAUAAAGUGAAGUCUUCUUCUGCAUUAUUAGCACAUCACGUGAAAAGAAAGAUACAAACAAGAUUACUCCAUUUUCCAGUCACUUUUUCAACCGAUGGGGCUUCUUGGCAAAUAAAGCAAGGACAGACCGAGUUGAUGCGCUACGUAACUCCUUUUUCCUGGCCCGCGCAAUUCACGCAUACACAAACACAUCCAGAAUAAUAUUCAUAAAAUUAAUUAACAUCCCGUAAAAAUAUACUUUAAUUUAGAAAAGAUUUUAAAAUGUUAUUUUUCAAAUUAAUAAUAACAAAAUUUUAUAUUAAAUUGGUUCGCUUAAGUUAACCUAUUAGAUUUAUAAUUCAGGUUAUGAAAUUAUAAUACCUAGUUCACAAAUAACCAAAUAUGGUGAAGUUUUUCCAAUCAAACCCUUUUUUUUUUUUAAGAUGUAAUUUCUAGAAAAAUAAAUCAAAGACAAACAGAGUAAAAUUUCAAAAAAUAGAGAAAGAUGGAAAAUCCCACCAAUAUUUAACCCACUUAAAUUGAGUCCAAAUCAUAAAAGCAUCUACAAAGAGUGUGUUAAAUGAAAAGUUAAAAAUUAAAAAAUAUAUAAUUUUGACUCUUUCAUGUUUAUUUUACACACUUCAAAAAAAUAUUAAAUAAAAUAUUAAAAUAUUUUUUUUUCUUAUAAAUACUAUUUCUAAAUAUCUAUCAAAAAAACCAAUACUAAAAAAAUAGAGUCAUCAAAAAAUAAACCAAUUAAAUAUAAUUAUAUGAAAAAAUAUAUUUUAAAUAGUGCAGCCUGAGCUUAAUGGUUAAAAUAAUUUUAUAUUUUUUAUAAUUGUUAACAUCAACACAUUAAAAUCAUUAAAAAUAUUAAAAAAUCAAUAAUUUAAUAUAUUUUUAAAUAAAAUAUAUUUUUUAAAAAAACAUAUAAAUUACUACUAUUAUUUCAAACACACAAUCCUAUUCCAUCUUAAAAUCUGAGCUAUUAGGAUAGUAAAGUUAAUUCGUUAAAUUUACAAUUGUGGUGGUGGGAUAUUAAAAAAAAUCUUAUAUUAAAAUUAAAAAUUUUAAAAAUUCUUGAAUAAAAAAACAACAAAACAAUUAUUCAGGUAAUUGUAUAAAAUAUAAUAAUAUAAUGUAUAAUUUAUAAUUGAUUUAUUUACCUUAUCAGUCUUCUGCUGCAUGAUCACAUCACGUGAAAAGCUUGGCAUUUAGUGAUGUUUUUCCAAUCAAACCUCCUUUUUUCAAAGAUGGAAUCUCGAGGUAAAUAAAUCAAAGACAAAACCGAGUAAAAUGGAGUCCAGAGCAUAAAAGAAUCUCCAAUGAAGCUGCUAAAUGAAUAACUAAAAAUAAUAAUAAAAAAAAAAUUGUUUUUGUUUGUUUUUUAUAUUUCAAGAAGAAAAUCAAAUAAAUCGUUAAAAUAUUUUUUUUUCACAUAAAUAUUAUUUUUAUAUAUCUCUCAAAAAAAUCAAAAUUAAUAAAAUAAAACCAACAAAAAAAAGCCAAUUAAAUCUAGGUAUCUAGAAAAAAAUAACUUUAAAAUCAUUAAAAAAAAAAAAUGUUUAUUUAUUUCACUUUAUCUCGAAAAACAGUAACUUUAAAAUCAUUAAAAAAAAUAAAAUGUUUAUUUAUUUCACUUUAAUAGAAUUGGCUUUUCAAUGUAUUUUUUCUAUUGGAAUAUAUAUUGUAAAAAAAAUAUAUUUAUAUUAUUUAAAAUACUAUUUUAUUAGUUUAUUUUUUUAAAAUAAUAUUUUUUAUUAAAGAUACUCCAACAAGGGCCGAGAGAGCAAAGGCUUUUACGAGUUCUGUGUUCCGUAUACUUCUCAAGGGGAAAAAAAUAAUGUUUUGUUAGAGAUUUGUUUUUGAUAGAAUUGUUAGCGAUCUUAGCCGAUGCAUCUGGAUUAUAAUUUUUAGCAUUUAUACUAUUUUAUAGCGCUAAUAUCUUAAAAAAACUUAUUUUCUAGCUUUUUUUUCAUGGUAUAAUAAAAUAUUAAAAAAUAUUUUUCAACUCAUUAUCCUUAAUACAAUUAAAUUUCAUAGAAUAGUCUAUUUUUUAGAAAUAUAGUUUACUAUGAGAUUUAUUGGAUAAAAGAAAUUCACUUUGUAACAAUGCACUAGAAACUAAAAAAAAAUAAGCUAAUGAUCAUUUAAAAAUAUAGUAUAUUGGAAUCAUCUUGCUGAAUAGGUGAGUUUGGGAGUUUGGUUGCUUAACAGGCGAGUGAGGGUUAAAUGUAUCCAAUUAAAUAAUAUCUACAUUCAAUUAAAACUUAUGGUACAAUUACUUGACAGCAAAAUAAAGAAAAGCAGGAACCCUGUAAUAUCUAGGAAAUUUCUAUGCUCUUUGAAUUAGGUGCCCAAACUAAGGCUAUAAUGAGCCCUGAAUUUACACAGAAGAAAUUUCAUGGGAAAUGGGUUGAUGUCAGAGGCAGACACGGAAACGUAAUUUCAGAAGACUAUGACUCAAAUCAGUGGCUGAAAUCCAAUCACUCAAGGGAUGGUGACACGUUGUCUUGAGUGGGAGACAACUGGUCUUCAGUACAAAGAGAAACAACGUUUUUUUUUUAUUAUUAUUAUUAUUAUUAAAAGCGAGUGUACGAGUUACUUCCAUGUUUUUUAAUUAAUUUUAAAAUUAAUAAUUAUAUAAAUUUUUAAUAAUUAUAAAAAAGUUUAAAUUCAUGAAAAGAUUUGAAUUCAUAAUUAUUAAAAUACAAAUAUAUUUUCCUGAGUGUCUUUGCUCUCGUGACAGCUCACGAUGGUGGGGGGUUUAAAAAAAAAUUUAAAAAAUAUUUUUACUUGUGAUUUAUUUAAUUUAAAUAAGUAUUUAAUUAUAAUUAUAAUUAACGAUAUAUUGUAACUAAAAUUACUAUAAAAAAGAACAUAGUGAAGGUGGAGAGGAUGAGAAUAAUGAUUGGAUAUCUUAAUAAUUGUAAAAAGAAAGUAUUUUUUUAUGGUGAAGUUAUUUGUAUAUGAGAAAAGACUGAGUUUUGUAGCUCAGAAAAAAUAAACAUGUUGAUAUUGCUUUUUAAUAACCCAUGAAUGGACCGUAAAUUGCAACGGGUUCACAAACACAAACAUGUGCUUCACAUGUAACCAAACUUAUUGUUAUCUGCAUUAAAAGCAAAAGAUGCUAAAAACACACACAUUUGAUCGUUGAAGAUGUUUUUAAAUUGUUUUCUUAAUUAUUUUUCAUUUAAAAAAAUAUGAAUCAAAGAAGUUUAAUAAUUAUAAUUAUUAAAUAUUUUGAAAUAAAAUGAUCCAUCUAUAUUAAAAAAAAACAUCAUUCCCACGUGUGGAAGAUAAAAUUAAUCAACCUAAUCUUAUUGGAUUGCAUUUUAUUAAAUCAAACCAUCAGUAUCUUUAAUGCAGGAUAUUUUUGUUUUUCCAAUUCAAGUAUACUUUUUAAUAUAAUAAAUUUUUUUAACCUAUUUUUUUAUUAUUAUUUUAGUAUCAUUUUGUUAUUUCUAAUAGUUUGUGGUUACCAGUUUAGUCCUGAAUUCAUUAUUAGAACCAUCAAUUUUAAAAAUCAAUGUAAGUUGAUUUUUAUUAUUUUUUAUUUUUUAAAAUUAAUUUAUUAAAAAAAAAUUCCAUGAUUUCUUUUUAAGAGACUAACCCUUCAUCGACAAACACUAAUGUACCCUGAAAAACAUAAUCUUAUUACAUCUGACGCUUUAAAUUCCAACAAGGAGCACCUACACAUCGAAAUAAAGAAAAGUACUGAGUGCCUUGGCGGUGGGAGGAGCUCUGCUCCUGAGUUCGAGUGUUUACAUGUAUAUCUAUCAUUCUCGUGGUGUUUUAUAUAUCUAUUGGGUUUAUAAAGUAUUCAGUGGGAUUAGUUGUGGUGCGCGCAAACUGACCCGAACAUCCAAAUAAAUAAAUAAAUAAAGUAGAAACCCUGCAUGUGGGAAAUUUUUGUUAGGCCUCCAAUCUGAGGCUGUAACGAGCCCUGGAUCUACACACAAGAAAUUUCAUGGGAAAUGGGUUGAUGUCAUAGGGAGACAAGGAAGCGUACUUUCAAAAGACCAUGAGACAAAUCAACGGCUGAAAUCCAAUCACUCAAGGGAUGGUGACAUGUUACCAUGAGUGGGAGACUGCUAGUCUCCAUCUAAAUGUUUAAAGAUGACUGGGUAUCUUAGUAAUUGUAUAACAAUUGAUUUUUUUUGCUGAAGUUGUCGGUGUGGAUGAGAAAAUACUGAGUUUGUAGCUUAGUAAAAACAUGUUGAUGUUGAUGUUACUUUUUAUUAGCUCAUGGUUGGCCCGUAAAUUAUAAUGGGUCCCACAAUCACAAACCUAUGAUUCACAUGUAAUUUAUGUUUUACAACUUAUUUUUAAAAUUAUUUUUUAUAUAUAUUUUUAUACCAUUUUUAUUUUAAAAAUUUUAAGUUUAAAAAAUAUUAUUUUAAUAUAUUUUUAAAUAAAAAAUACUUAAAAAAAAAAUUAAUAUCAGACACAGUGAAUGUUUUAUAAAAUUUUACAAUCGCUUUUACAUUUUGUUUAGAUCACAUUUGAAAAUGCGGUACACUACAAUAAAGUCCGUUAUAUGAUUAAGGGUAUGUUUGGUAUUGCGGUUGCUGUUGUGAUUGUAAUUAUGGUUUUAAAAAAAAUUGUUUUAUAAAAAGUAAUUUUAGUUGAGGUUGGUUUGAAAAAAUAUAUGUUUGGUUAAAACUGUAGUUGAAAUUGAGGUUGAACAAAAAAUAGUUUAAUGUGUUUGGUUAAAAAAAUGUUUUUCAAAUUGAUGUUAUAAAAUCAUUAAUAUAUAUAUAUACUAAUAUUAAUUAUUUUUAAUUUAAAUAUUGUAGAUUUAACUACUGUUAUUACAUCAUGAAAUAAAUAAUAUUAAUAUCAAAUAUUUUUUAUUAUUAGAUUAAAAUAUAUGUAAUCUCAUUACAUAUGAAAUCUAUCAAACAAGGACUAUAUUUUUCAUGGUUUCUUAAGCGUGCAACAACAAAAACUGAUUUUUUAAAUUUAUAUAGUGUUAUUAAAUAAUAAAGAUUGUGAUAUAUUUAUUAUUGAAAUUGCGAUCAAAUUUCAUAAAUGCUACGUCAUCAUGCGAUAUCUUUCUAAUUUAUAUAGUGUUAUUAAAUAAUAUUAAAUACUAGUUUUUCGAGUAAAACAAUUUAAAAAAAUAUAUAUAAUUUCACUACGUACAAAAGUUAUUCGACAAAAACUACAGUUUUCAUGAUUUUUUGAGCAUGUAAUAAAAUUAGGUAAAAUAUUAUCACGAAUAAAAUUGAGAUUACAGUACGAGUAAAUUUAAUUCACCUUAAACUAAUUUUUUUAAAAAAAAUAUCGUUUACUAUUAACUGCACUGGUUUUUUAGGGGGGAAAAUAAACUUUGCUCACCGGUUUUUUUUUUUAAAAAAAUAAAUAAAUAAACUUUUCUUACAGAUUUUUUCUUUUUUUAAAAAAAGAAGACAUGGUGACAAUGGAGCCAUGCUCCACUGUUAAGUGGUUGUUACCCACGAGAAGCAGUAAAAAUAACGUGGACCCUAUCAAGCAAAAUCAAUCUUGCUUGAUUACCAAACAUUAAAAUAUGUGGCUGCGAGUAAACUCGCCACACUACCAAACAACAUCUAAAGUCUUUAAUUGUCUUGCAUUUAUCUUUAAAACUGCUAUAAGAAUUAAUUAAUUGUGUCAAUUCAAUUCUUUCGAUUGACAUUGAUGCCAAACAUGUUAAUUCAUGAUAUAAUUAAGCAAUUCAAUACAAAUUUACUAAUAUAAUUUAUUUCGGCUUAAACCUUUGAAUAAAGCAAAAUGCAGAGGUUGUGAAAGUGAAAUACCUUAAUAAUUUUUAUGCUUUACAACUCUAGGAGCCACACAAAAUAUAAUGCGUUUGUUACUAUUUAUUUGUUAAAAAGUAUUUUUUUUAUUAAAAAAUGAUUUUUUAAAAAAUAAAUUGAAAAAUAUUUUUUAAUAUUUGAUUAUUUUAUAUAAAACAAGCCAAAAAAUAUUUUUUUAAUUUUCUUCUCAAAUUUAUUAAAAGAAUAAGAAACAAAUAUUUCAAAUAAAAAUAUUGAAGGAAGAUGAAAUUAAAAAAUAUAUAUAUUUUUAUAAAUUAUUUUAAAUAAAAUAAAUAAUAAUUAGAAGAAUAAGAAACAAAUGAAAAAUUAAAAAAUUAAAAAAAAAUAAAACAGAAAUAAAUAAUAAUCAAAAUAAAAAAUUAAUACAAAAAUAAUAUUAAACCAAUAAUUUAAUUUAAAAAAAAACAAAAUAUAAUUUAUAAUUUAUAAUUUAUUUAUUUGCUUUAUCAAUGAAAAGUGAUGGUAGGAGGGAGAGAGAGAGGAAAUAAAGUGAAGUCUUCUGCUGCCUGAUCACAUCACGUGAAGAGCUUGGCAUUUAGUGAAGUUUUUCCGAUCAAACCCACUUUUUUCAAAGAUGGAAUUUAUUGGAAAAUAAAUGAAAGACAAACCGAGUAAAAUGGAGUCCAGAGCAUACAAGAGCCGAGAUUGAAACAGGAAAUGCAAGAAAAAGAAGAUGGGCCCUUGUUUUCUCUUUUUACGGCCGGCGACCGGAUAUAAAAAGGGAGGAGAUGAAGCUUUCAAAUUAUUUUCAAUUUUGCGGUCACUUAUUGUGUCCAUGUCAUUUUGUGUAAUUGCCCAGCUACCGGUACUAUUUUAACACUGUUAAAAGUCUAAAUCAUCAAUAUUUCCCCAAUUUAUCUCUAAAAAAAAUUCACUUCAAUUAAUAGCAUUUUUUUAUUAUUUCUUAUGUCAAUGUUUACCUCUUUUUGAUAAACUCGUAUAUUUUUGUACCAGAGGUCUAAAAUUAUUCUGUCCACUUAUUACUUAUUUAAAUUUAUUAGAAUGUUUUAAAUAACUUUUUUAAAUUUUAAUCCCAGAGUUUACAUGCAUAAUACAUGAGUUAUAUAAAUUAUGAUUCAAAAUAUUGUUAUAACUAAAUUAAAAGAAAAAUUCAGAGUUAAUUUCUUGAAUAUUAAGUUUUCUGAUUUUUCUAUAUAAUUAAUUUUUUAAGUUGAUUUGAUUAGUAUUAUUAUACUUUUCUCAUUCUCGAUAAAAGAAAAAAGAAAAAACCAGAAGAGUAUUUUCUUUCUAUUGAAAAUAUUUGUGGUUAGAAGAAAGUAAUUUUCACUGGAGUGUCGUUUUGGGAUGCAACAUGAACUUGACCUGUCUAAUUUGUACGGCAUGAGAAGAUGUUGCUUUACAUGGCUUCCUCCUUAAAAAAAUUCCAUCACAUUUGAGAAUUUUGUUAUAAAAAAGAUAUCUCUUUUAAAGAAGAAAAGUGAUACCUAAAAUUUAUAAAUGAUCUAAACUCUUAAUUUUUAAUCGAUGUAAAAUGUUAGAGUAUCAUGUUCCUGAAAAAAUCUUUCUAAGUGUAUAAUAUGUUGCAUUUGGGGCAAAAUUAAUAGUUUUGAAUGUUUUUAUUACUGAAACUUUUUUUUUUCUCAACCUCUUUUUCUCUCUCUUCUUGUCAAAUACAAAAGGUUUUUUUUUUAAUUUUUUAAAUAAUUUUAUUUUUAUUUAUUUUAUUUUUAUCUUUUGUAGAUUUGUUUUUUUAUUUAUUUUGUUUUUUAUCGUUUGAUUUUAUUUAUUUUUUUAUUAAACAUUAACUUUAUUUUUAUUUAUUAUUUUUUUAAUUAAACAUCCUUUUUAAUUUAUCUCUUAAUAUUUAAUUUUAAUAUCAAAUUUAAUUAGUCCUAUUUUAUCUUACACUUUAAAUUCCUACAAGUACCCGAUCAAACAAUAUCUGCAUUCAAUUAAAACUUAUGGUACAAUUACCUCAUAGCGAAAAAAAAAAAAAAGUAGAGACCAACUAAGAAAUUUAUGUGCUGUUCCCAGCUAUGUUGCUGACAUUGGACAAGAGAGACUUCUUCAGCCACCGAUAAAAUUAUUUUUGUUGACUUUUUGUGCAGUUUGUCACUUUGCUUCGAUCUUUCUCUCUUUGCACCACAAACACUUGGACAUGGUAGAUACCAAGCACGGUUUUGCUGUCAAUGUACGAUACCAUAUUUGACAAUAUCUUUUUUUUUCUUUUUUCUUUUUUAUGAAGAGUAGUAUGUUGGUUAUCUAUGUAUGUUUUUUAAAAAAUCACAUAUAUAUUUAUCUAAAAUUAUUGAUAUUUAAAAAAUUACAUUAUUUUUUUAAUAAUUCGUUCCGCUGUUCUUUUAGAAUUAAGCGAAUAUUAUGCAAAGCUUCAAGUUUUGUGUAAUUGUUUUUAAUACAAGAGAGUUUAACCAUUUUAAAAUGUUUAAUGAGUUAUUUAAAAUAUUGAAAGUAAUGUACAAUAACUAAUUUAUAAUUUUAUCAUUGCUCUUGCUUUAUUAUAGGUCAAGUCAAGAUUUUCUUAAAAAUAAAAAAUUAUUUAAAUUGUGAAUGUUUUAAUUUAUUCUGGUAAAACAAAUUUAAAUUGUGUGGUGAUUUAACUUGAUUGAAUUUGUAGUUUAAAAAACAAUCUAGAUAACCAGUAAAAAUAUAAUUUAACUCGUAAAAAAUUUCAAGAUUACAUAUAUUUUUUUAAUAUUAAGAUAACAACAAAUUAAUUGAUUUGGGUCAACUCAAUUUAACUUAUUAAAUUCAUAACCCGAGUUAUGAGAUUAUGAUAACCAUGUAGAAAAUAAAUUAUUAAGUCUAAUUCUCAACUACCAAAUAUUAAAAGAUAAAAUUAAAAUAAAUAAAUAAACCAUGUGGAGAUUGAUUCGAUGUGACUUAAUUGAUUUAGCUUGUUCAAAAACAACCCGGAUAAUCAGUAAAAAUAUAAUCUGACUUAGAAAAAAAUUCAAGAUGAUACUUUUUUUCCAAUACAAAGAUAAUAAAGUAAUAGAUUGAAUUGGGUUAACCAGAGUUAACUUGUUAAAUUUUUUAUCUGGGUAUAAGACUGUGAAAUCUAAUUCCUAUUCAACUAAAUAUUUAAUGGUAUAAUUGAAAAAUAAAAUCAAUUAAAAAAUGAUCUAAAAAUAUGAACAUAAUUAACAUGUCAAGUUCAUAACCUAUGUUAUAAUAAAGAUACAAUCUUAUAGAAAAAAAAAAUCAAAAUAAAUUAUGAAGUUCAAUCUUAAAUAACCAAAUUUUAAAAGAUAAAUUUUUUUAAAAAGAACGUAAAAAUGACCCGAGUAAAUCCACCAAACUCAUAACUCGUUAUGAGAUCGAGAUAAUCUUAUAUAAAAAAAAAUUACAUGAUUUAACUCGUCAAAUCUAUGACUUUGGUAACAAGACCAAGACAACCUCUUAAAGAGUAAAUAAAAAUAAAUUAAAAGUGCAAUCCCUAAUUGACCAUGUCAAACUCGAUGUGAAUGAUGCAAUUUCUAAAAAUUUAAAUUAAAAAAUAACAUAAAAAAUAAUUUAGACCAACCCGUCAAGCAUCAUUAUUAGAUUACGAGGCUAGGAUAACAUAAUAAAAAUAAAAUCAAAACAAACCACAAAGUCUAAAUUCUAAUAAAAUAUAUUAUUAAAUAAUAAAAUUGAAGAAAAAAAAUUAAUUAAAAGAAAUUCGAGUCAAUUAGGCUAACUUGCUAAGCCUGUGAGUUAGGUUAUAAAACAAAAAUAACCCAAUAAAAAGUAAUUUCACUAUUGAAGGACUCGUGAUCUACGUCAUGAAAUCAACAUAACCUCUUACAAACAAAAUAAAAAAAAAACAACUCAAUUUAAUUUGGAUUAAAAUGUCAAAACCUCCACCUCUAAUCAUAAAACUAGGAUAAUUAUAUAGAAAAUAAUUUGAAAUAGAUUAUGAAAUUCCAUUCCCAACUGACAUUAUAUCAAAUGAUAAAGUUAGAAAAAAAAUUCAAUUAAAAAAAUAUAAAAUAUAACCCGAGUCAAUUUAGGCUAAUAUGUUAAGUAUUAUUUCCAAUUUAUGAGGUUAGAAUAAUCUAAUACAAAACAAAUAAAACAAAAUAUGAAACUUAAUUUUUAAUUAAAAGAUAAAAUUGUAAAAAAAAUUUAAUUAAAAAAAAUCAAGUUAAGUGAGUGAAUCCAUUAAAUCUACAAUUUUUAUUAUAAAAGUGAGACAACUUAAUAAAAAUAAAUUAAUAUUAAAAUAAAAAACAUUCAAUAAAAAAAACACUCAUUCAGAUAAUUGUAUAAAACAUAAUAAUAUAAAGUAUAAUUUAUGAUUUAUUUAUUUAUUUUAGCAUUUAGUGAAGUCUUUCCAAUCAAACCCCUUUUUUUUUUUUAUAAUUUAUAAAAAAUAAAAAUAUUUUAUUUUAAUAAAUGUUUAAAUAAAAAACAAUAAGAGACAACCGUGACCACUUAAAUGGACUCCUAAGCACACCAAGUUAAGAGUUAAAGAGCCGAGAGAGAAAAAGCUUUUGCCAGUUCUUUACACAUUCUUUCCCCUUCUGUCACCUGAACAAAAUCCCCUCUUCUUCUUCUUGUUUGUUUACUCUUCCUUCGUUACUUUGCAAAGAGGAGAAACCAUGGCCGGGGCUUUAGUAGGAGGAGCUUUUCUUUCUUCUUUCCUUAAUGUUUUGUUCGACAGGAUGGCCUCUCCCCAGGUGAUUGCCUUCUUCAGAGGCCAAAAAGUCAACGAUAGUAGUCUGCUGCAGAACUUUGAAGAAAACAAUGACAUCUCUCAGGGUGGUGCUUGAAGAUGCUGAGGAGAAGCAGAUAACAAGUUUAACUGUGCGGGAUUGGCUGGUCGAUCUUAAAGACGCUGUCUAUAACGCCGACGACUUCUUGGAUGAGAUUGCUUAUGAAGCUCUACGGCAGGAGUUGGAAGCUGAAGAGCAAACCUUCACAGGUCAGACGCAGAAGCUUCUUUCUUUCAUUAACCCACUUGAAAUACUGGGGUCGAGAGAGAUCGAAGAAAAAAUAGAAGUCCUUUUGCAGGAUCUAGAUCCCUUAGUUGCAGGAAUGGCAGCCCUUGGUUUGAACAACCGCAAUGUAGAAAAUCCAUCAUCGCAUAGAACACCAACAACUUCUCUCGUGGAUGGAUCUGGUGUUUAUGGCAGAGAUGAUGACAGGGAAGCAAUACUGAAGUUGCUUCUAUCAAAGGAUGCAAAUGGAGGAAACCCUGGUGUCGUCCCCAUUAGGGGAAUGGGCGGGGUUGGUAAAACCACGCUUGCUCAGCUUGUAUACAAUCACAGAAGAGUACAGAAGCGGUUCGACCUCAAAGCUUGGGUUUGUGUUUCAGAAGAUUUCAGUGUUUUGAAGUUAACCAAGGCGAUCCUUGAGGGGUUCGGUUCAAAGCCUGCUUCUGAUAAUCUGGAUAAGCUCCAGCUUCAGUUGAAGGACAGAUUGGAGGGAAAGAGAUUCUUGCUUGUUUUAGAUGACGUUUGGAAUGAAGAUUAUGCUGAGUGGGACAAGUUGCUUACCCCCCUGAAGUACGGAGCACAAGGGAGUAAGAUUCUUGUCACAACACGCAAUGAAAGUGUAGCAUCAGUCAUGAGAACUGUUCCAACUCAUCAUCUAAAAGAAUUGACGGAAGACAGCUGCUGGUCCUUGUUUGCCAAACAUGCAUUUCGUGGUGAAAAUCCCAAUGCUCAUGAAGAGUUGCUAGAGAUUGGAAGAGAAAUAGUGAGAAAGUGUAAAGGCCUUCCUCUAGCUGCGAAAACACUCGGAGGUCUGCUACGCACCAAAAGAGAUGUCGAGGAGUGGGAGAAGAUAUUGGAAAGCAAUCUAUGGGAUUUACCCAAAGACAAUAUCCUCCCAGCUUUGAGAUUAAGUUAUCAUCAUCUCCCGUCACAUCUGAAGCAAUGUUUUGCUUAUUGUGCCAUAUUUCCAAAAGACCAUGAAUUUCAAAAGGAUGAAUUAGUGCUCUGUGGAUGGCAGAGGGCUUCUUAGUCCCUCUGCAGUAGAUGAUGAGAUGGAAAAGCAGGUGCUGAGUGCUUUGAUGAUCUCUUGUCAAGGUCGUUUUUCCAGCAAUCAAGUGCCUCGCUCAUCAUUUGUGAUGCACGAUCUCAUGCAUGACUUGGCUACCCAUGUGUCCGGUCAAUUUUGCUUCAGCUCCAGGUUGGGGGAAAAUAAUUCUUCCAAGGCCACAGAAGGACUCGACAUUUAUCACUCGUAGUAGAUACGGGAAGGGUUUUUCAAGCACAAAAUUAGAAAACAUCCGUGAAGCCCAACUUCUACGCACAUUCCAACUUUUCACGCUAUUGUUGUCCUCCCGAAUUUAUAAUGAGAUCUUUCAGUCAACACUUGGGCGCCUACGAGUGCUAAUCAUGACUGGUUGUAGAGAUCAACUUGUUAUGUUCAACUAGCAAGUUGAAGCAUUUGCGGUAUUUGGAUCUCUUCGGUCAGAUUUAGUAACGUUGCCUGAAGAAGUGAGUGCUCUUCUCAAUUUGCAAACGUUGAUCUUGAAAAUGCAAACAACUUGCUAGUCUACCUGAUCUUGGAAAUUUGAAGCACUUACGACAUCUGAAUCUUGAAGGAACAAGGAAUCGAAAGGUUGCCUGAAUCUCUGGAAAGGUUAAUCAACUUGCGGUAUCUUAACAUCAAGCACCCUUUGAAAGAGAUGCCACCACAUAUAGGUCAACUGGCAAAGCUCCAAACGUUGAAUUAUUUUCUCGUGGGAAGACAGAGUGAGACUAGCAUUAAAGAAUUGGGAAAGCUACGACAUCUACGGGGAGAACUUCAUAUUGGGAACCUUCAAAAUGUGGUGGAUGCUCGGGAUGCUGGUGAGGCAAAUUUGAAAGGUAAAAAGCACCUUGAUAAGCUGAGGUUUACAUGGGAUGGUGACACUCAUGACCCGCAACACGUAACAAGCACACUUGAGAAAUUAGAGCCAAAUAGAAAGCUGAAGGAUCUUCAGAUUGAUGAUUAUGGAGGUGUAAGGUUUCCAGAGUGGGUAGGAGAGUCCUCUUUCUCAAAUAUAGUGUCCUUGAAGCUCAAUGGAUGUACAAACUGCACCUCCUUACCACCGCUCGGGCAAUUAUCUUCUUUAGAGGAUCUCUCCAUUGAAGGAUUUUAUAAAGUUGUGACUGUGGGCUCUGAGUUCUAUGGGAGUUGUACUGCUAUGAAGAAGCCAUUUGAAUCCCUCAAAACAUUAUCUUUUAGAAGGAUGCCAGAGUGGCGCGAGUGGAUUUCAGACGAAGGCAGCCGGGAAGCCUUCCCUCUUCUUGAUGUGCUUUUAAUCGCAGAAUGCCCCAAAUUAGUUUCAUUUCCCAAAGGAGGGUUACCUGCUCCAGUCUUGACACGACUUGAGUUAGAAGAAUGCAGGAACUUGAAGCAGUUGCCUGAGAGUAUGCAUUCCCUCUUCCCAUCCCUUACCGAUUUGGUAAUAAGAGAUUGUUUAGAAGUUGAGUUGUGUCCAGAAGGGGGUUUUCCCUCCACAUUACAAUCACUUGAGAUUUCUAGAUGCAACAAACUCAUUGCUGGCCGCAUGCAAUGGGGCUUGCAAACGCUCCAUUCUCUUUCACGCUUUACAAUUGAUUGGGACGAAAAUGUUGAAUCCUUCCCUGAAGAGAUGCUGCUGCCCUCAAGUCUUACAUCUCUUAGAAUCUAUUCCCUACAACACCUGAAAUCUCUUGACUACAAGGGGCUUCAACACCUCACCUCUCUUAGAACAUUGAAUAUAAAGAACUGCCCUCUGAUUGAGUCAAUGCCAGAAGAAGGGUUGCCCUCCUCCCUUUCUUCUCUUGUAAUUGAAGGUUGUUCCAUGCUGAAAUCUCUUCCAAGGCUUCACCACCUCACCUCUCUUACAGCAUUGGGUAUAUAUGGCUGCCCUCUGAUUGAGUCAAUGCCAGAAGAAGGGUUGCCCUCCUCCCUUUUUAUUCUUUCAAUUCUCAAUUGUCCUCUGCUGGGUGAAAGUUGUGAAAGGGAGAAAGGUAAAGAUUGGCCCAAGAUUUCUCACAUUCCUCACAUAAGUAUAUAUUGAGGUAUUGCUACUAAAUAGUUUAUUUUCUUUUCAGUAAUCAAAGGCAAUUUCAGUUAAAAUUUGGAUGAAUGAAAUACAGAUAUUGUCCAUUUUGUAUUGUUUAUAUUUGUUGGAUGUUGAAAUACAGAUAUUUUCUUCCUAUUGUCUCUCAUUCAUCUCCAUAAAUAAUAAUCAUCAUUCUAUUUCAAUAUAUCGAGCUGGAGGAUCAUCACAUGCUUCAGAUUUUGAACUGCCAGCACCAUCCUUAAUUUGGACAGGGGGCUAUUAUCAUCGAAUUUUAGCAACGGGAUAUUUCUUUUGCUAAUUUAACAACAGAAUGUGUAUAUAUGAUUUUUUUAAUAUCAACAAUGAAUUUAGUAAUAGAAAAUCCAUUGCUAAAAAGGAUUAAAAAAUUAAAUUAUUUAACUAAUUUGCAGCGGAUUUUUCAUUAUUGACGCUCUUGGCAACAUCAAAUCUGCAACUGAUUCCAAAAAUAAAUCAAACCCUUAAUUAUAUAAAAUCUGCAUCUUCAAAAAUUAAAAUAAAAUUAAAAUUCACCAUCUCUUUCUCUAGUCUCUUCCCUUCUCCAAAAAAUCAAAAUUCAAAAACUUUUUUUUUUAUCUUUUAUAUAUUAUUUAACUUUGAUUAAAUUGUUUUUAUUCCAUAUAAAGCAGAAGUUAAAAAAUGAUUUUGGAGUACAUGUAAGUCAUAUCUUUUUUGGAAUUUGCUUUGAUAAAAAACAGACAUAAAGAGAGAAGAUAAUAUAAAAUUCAUGACUCCUUAUCGAUAUAUAUAUAUUUUUUUUCCUUAGUUCAUUCGUUUGAUUACAUUUUUGCUUCAACUCUCAUCAACACUCCCUUGUUUCGUUGCACGGCAUCAUUUAAAUGUACAUGGCUUGUGUUAUGUUCGGGAACAAAUAUUGGGCCAUUAACCUUUUCAAGCAAUGAUGGAGUAGGAGUGCAGUUAAAGAACACGCCCUAGCUGUUUGACAGAAUGCCGAUGAAGAUGAUAGUCAUUUUAGUGGUGCUGCUUGUAACAACCCAGGUAAGAAAACUAACGACCUCUUGAUGUGGUUUUCUAGGAAAUAAAUUAAAUGUUUUUAUUUGUUCAUGUGUUUUCUUCAGGAGGUGGUGCUAACCAGAGAAAGCUAAAGCAGAGGAGGAUGGCCAACAUGUUGGAAAGGUAAAAGGAUGAAGCCUUUUGUUAGAGGUCUAGGUGCUGUUGCACUAACAAAAGCACAUUGCCUUGAGGAAGCCCUCAAGUCUUACAUCUCUUCACAUCUAUUCCCUAAAACACCUGAAAUCUCUUGACUACAAUGCCAGAAGAAGGGUUGCCCUCCUCCCUUUUUGCUCUUUUUAUUAACAAUUGUGAGAGGGAGAAAGGGUUAAAUGAUCUUUGUAUAUUUGACUGUCCAGAUCUGGAAUCACUAUGUGCACAUGAAAGACCUCUCAAUGAUCACAACUCUCUCGAUUAUUUGGAAAUCGAGGACUGCCGUAAAUUAGUUUCAUUUCCCAAAGGAGGGUUACCUGCUCCAGUCUUGAGAGGACUUCAUUUAGAAGGUUGCAGCAACCUGAAGCAGUUGCCUGAGAGUAUGCAUUCCCUCCUCCCAUCCCUUAACCGUUUGUAUAUAAGUAACUGCCCUUUGAUUGAGUCAACGCCAGAAGAAGGGUUGCCCUCCUCCCUUUCUUCUCUUGUAAUUAACAGUUGUCCUAUGCUGAAAUCUCUUCCAAGGCUUCAACACCUCACCUCUCUUACACGAUUGAAUAUACAUCACUGCCCUCUGAUUGAGUCAAUGCCAGAAGAAGGGUUGCCCUCCUCCCUUUCUUCUCUUGUAAUUGAAGAUUGUCCUAUGCUGCGUGUAAGUUGUGAAAGGGAGAAAGGUAAAGAUUGGCUCAAGAUUUCUCACAUUCCUCACAUACAUAUUUGGAGAAGUUAAAGGAGCUAAUACAUAAAUCACAUUCUUUCAAUCGUCCAACAUAUUGAGGUAUUGCUACUAAAUAGUUUAUUUUCUUUUCAGUAAUCAAAGGUAAUUUCAGUUAAAAUUUGGAUGAAUGAAAUACAUAUAUUGUCCUAGAAAGUUGUAUGUUUUUAUUUGUUGGAUGUUGAAAUACAGAUAAUUUCUUCCUAUUGUCUCUCAUUCAUCUCCAUAAAUAAUAAUCAUCAUUCUAUUUCAAUAUCUUUUUUGCUAUAAUUAAUGCUACUAUUGUUCCUCUAUCAACUGCGGCAAAUAAACAUCACAUGCUUCCGAUUUUGAACUGCCAGCGCCACCCUUAAAAAACAAGUGUCCAUCUUAAAAGACAACGGGCCUAGCAGAGCUGAAAAGGAUUAAAAAAUAUUUAAAUAAUCUGCAACAUAUUUUUCAUUGUUGACGCGACAAAAUCAAAAUUCAAAAUUUAAAAUCUCCAUUCUCUCCUUAUCCGCAUCUUCAAAAAUUCAAAAUCUUUUCCCCACCUCUUUCUCUAAUCUAUUCCCCUUCUCCAAAAAUUCAAAAUCCAAAAACUUUUGAUUUGUUUAUUUUAUUAUCACUUAACUUUGAUUAAAAAACUUUUCUUGAAGUUUACUUCCAUCAAAGAUCUUUUAUAGAUAUAAAAAGAAGAGAUAAUAUAAAAUUCAUCCGCGUAUUGGAAUCACAAUUCAGAAUCAAGUGAAAGCGGCCAAUGUCACUCGAGAGAGUAGGCACUUGCAAAUCUGCUAAUAAUUAUUGGUGUUUAUUCCUCAUGAUGAUCCAGUGAGCUGACAAUAAAAGAAAACCUCGGCAUUACUAGUAAAUCGUCACUGCAAGCAUGGAAGAGAUUCAGGUAGGAAUUACCCUUGUCUUCAUUGAGAGGCUUUAACCUCCCUAGCUCCUUCAUCAGCAG